rnacentral:rRNA from 1 species
GACGAACGCUGGCGGCGCGCCUAACACAUGCAAGUCGAACGAGCGAGAGAGAGCUUGCUUUCUCGAGCGAGUGGCGAACGGGUGAGUAACGCGUGAGGAACCUGCCUCAAAGAGGGGGACAACAGUUGGAAACGACUGCUAAUACCGCAUAAGCCCACGGCUCGGCAUCGAGCAGAGGGAAAAGGAGCAAUCCGCUUUGAGAUGGCCUCGCGUCCGAUUAGCUAGUUGGUGAGGUAACGGCCCACCAAGGCGACGAUCGGUAGCCGGACUGAGAGGUUGAACGGCCACAUUGGGACUGAGACACGGCCCAGACUCCUACGGGAGGCAGCAGUGGGGAAUAUUGCACAAUGGGGGAAACCCUGAUGCAGCGACGCCGCGUGGAGGAAGAAGGUCUUCGGAUUGGUAAACUCCUGUUGUUGGGGAAGAUAAUGACGGUACCAACAAGGAAGUGACGGCUAACUACGUG